rnacentral:rRNA from 1 species
AAAGAACUGGACCACCUUCGGGGAGCUUGUACAGGUGCUGCAUGGCUGUCGUCAGCUCGUGUCGUGAGAUGUUCGGUUAAGUCCGCUAACGAGCGCAACCCUCGCUGUGUGUUACAAGUGUCACACGGAACUGCCGGUCAUAACCGGAGAAGGUGGGAUGACGUCAAGUCAGCAUGGCCUUUAUAUCCUGGGGCUACACACACGCUACAAUGGGAAGGGACAAUAGGUUGCGAAGCCGCGAGGCGGAGCCAAUCCAGCAAAACUUCCCUCAGUUCAGAUUGCAGGCUGCAACUCGCCUGCAUGAAGUUGGAGUUGCUAGUAAACGCAGGUCAGCCAUACUGCGUUGAAUACGUUCCCGGGGCUU